UCUCCGUAGGUGAACCUGCGGAGGGAUCAUUACUGAGUGAGGGCUCACGCCCGACCUCCAACCCUUUGGGAACACAUCUUGUUGCUUCGGGGGCGACCCUGCCGGCACUCGGUCGCCGGGCGCCCCCGAAGGUCUCCCAACACUGCAUCGUUGCGUCGGAGCUUAAAACGAAUCAAACAAAACUUUCAACAACGGAUCUCUUGGUGCUGGCAUCGAUGAAGAACGCAGC
rnacentral:misc_RNA from 1 species